AGGACUGCGCUCCAGGAUGCAACAAAAGCCGGGUGCACAGCAGCCGGCAUGGCGCCAAAGCUGAAGCCCUGAGCUGCUCUGCCGUGCUACCCUCUGUCCCUCCAAACUCUCUCUUCCUUCAUCUGUUUGUCAGUAAACCGAAGCCACCACAGUUUGUCAUUUGGAUGAUUAUCGCCAGAUGGAGAAGCUGCAGCUCCAGACUCUUGACAGCCGCACAGCUUCCAAGGCAGCGGCCCCGCGGGCUGCAAACCCCACCUUCCUGCAGUUGCAGAGCCAGCUAAGAGGUGGGCAGCAUGCCAGGCCCCAUCAGCAGCCUCUGGAGCACACACCAAUUGCAGAUGCUCAGGAGGCUCAGGGGAAGGAACGGGGUUUUCACCAGAACACCACAGGCAGGGCCUCCCAGCAAAGGCCUCCAGAUGCUGUGAAAACCUAAGUCUUGUCCUCCUCCUGGCUUCCCAGGUUACCCAGCCACAACACACAGAUGCUGGGUCUGGGACGGCUCCACUGGAACCUGAGAUGACCUGAGGGUGUCCCAGUGAUAUAACAUAUGAGGAAAGCAGAAACAACUAAGAAAUAGACUCUGAAUGUGGCAGAUUCUAGAACUGAAAGGCGGAAGAGGAGCAGAUCUUCACUUUCCACACCUCAAGGUACUCAGCCAAUCACCUGUUCAUGCCUGAGAUUGUGAAUCCAAUAGGAAAGUACAAGGACAUGGAGAUUGUCAAAGCUGCUGUAUGAUGGUGGCAGCAGAGUCGAAAGUCCAGCGGAGAGGCAGCAAGCAUCCCAGGGAUCCCAUGACUGAGAACCAGCUUCUGUGGUUUAGAAGCGAGGCGCCAACUGGUAUGAGAAGCACAGACAGAUGGUGCCCUGGGAACACUGGCUGUCACGUGCUGGACGAGUUUCCUCAGCAAGUCACCUUCCCUCCAUGGGCCUCUAUUGGAAAGAAGGCAUCAAGAUCAUUCCAGCUAUGAUUCCUGAGCUUUUAAUAUAUUCUUUCUGAUGAUUAAGAAAUAUAUCUGUCGAGCAUGGCAGCUUACGCCUGUAAUCCUAGCCCUUUGUGAGGCCGAGGCGGGUGGAUCAUGAGGUCAGGAGUUCAAGACCAGCCUCACCAACAUGGUGAAACCUCGUCUCUACUAAAAAUACAAAAAUUAGCCGGGUGUUGUGGUGUGUGCUUGUAAUCCCAGCUACUCGGGAGGCU
rnacentral:lncRNA from 1 species